rnacentral:lncRNA from 1 species
AUGCUCCCUGCUGGUCCCUUGUGGUCCCCAGCAUGCAGUGUUUGCUGGAUCCCAGCCCUCAGACUGCUCAAGUGGGAGCUGAGAGGAAGACUGAGCACCUUGUCAAUGGGCGCUUCUUCCAGGAAGGAGGAGAACCAUGAGCCUUUUCCACAAUGCCUGCUUGCAGAACUGGGACUGGCUCCAGGGUGGGUGGCAGCAUCCCAGGGCCCGGAGCAGCAAGCAUCAGGAGCCCAAACGCCUGCUCAAAAAGGAGAAAAGCCCCAGAGGUGGACCCUGGUAUGUGGAAUAUCAACCUCUGCCCCUGGAGGAGCUGUGGAUGGAGCUGGGAUCUGGAGCAAGGAGAAGGCAAUGGACCACAUGGCUAUUUGGUGUGGGGAGAAGAAUGCAGCAGAGCUUGGAAACUCCUCCAAACCACCUAUCACACCUGAGAAUGUCAAGGGAGUAGAAAACAGGUCUUAUGGGAGGAGGUUUCUCUGCACUUGGAGCAACACCAUGAGGGUGACCAUCAUCCUGCAUGCUGGGCAAGCUGGUGUCUCUGUAUGGACCCUUAUCCUCAUGGACUUAAGGGAGCCAAGUCAGCCUGCUGCAUGGAACGAAGAGAACCCAGGACAAGCUUCUGUCUCUGGACACCUUUUAACCUGUCAGUAG